AACUUUUUUUACCAAACAAUUAUAAGUAACAAAUGUAAUAUUAUCAUAACAAAUAAUAAAACUUUCAACAACGGAUCUCUUGGCUCUUGCAUCGAUGAAGAACGCAGCGAAAUGCGAUAAGUAAUGUGAAUUGCAGAAUUCAGUGAAUCAUCGAAUCUUUGAACGCACCUUGCGCUCCUUGGUAUUCCGAGGAGCAUGCCUGUUUGAGUGUCAU
rnacentral:rRNA from 1 species